rnacentral:rRNA from 1 species
UGGGGAAUAUUGCACAAUGGGGGAAACCCUGAUGCAGCGACGCCGCGUGAGCGAAGAAGGCCUUCGGGUCGUAAAGCUCUUUUAUGAGGGAAGAUAAUGACGGUACCUCAAGAAAAAGCCCCGGCUAACUACGUGCCAGCAGCCGCGGUAAUACGUAGGGCGCAAGCGUUAUCCGGAAUUAUUGGGCGUAAAGAGCUUGUAGGCGGUUCGUCGCGUCUGGUGUGAAAGCCCAUCGCUUAACGGUGGGUUUGCGCCGGGUACGGGCGGGCUAGAGUGCAGUAGGGGAGACUGGAAUUCCCGGUGUAACGGUGGAAUGCGCAGAUAUCAGGAGGAACACCGGUGGCGAAGGCGGGUCUCUGGGCCGUUACUGACGCUGAGGAGCGAAAGCGUGGGGAGCGAACAGG